rnacentral:rRNA from 1 species
CCUACGGGAGGCAGCAGUGAGGAAUAUUGGUCAAUGGACGAGAGUCUGAACCAGCCAAGUAGCGUGAAGGAUGACUGCCCUAUGGGUUGUAAACUUCUUUUAUAUGGGAAUAAAAUGUUCCACGUGUGGGAUUUUGUAUGUACCAUAUGAAUAAGGAUCGGCUAACUCCGUGCCAGCAGCCGCGGUAAUACGGAGGAUCCGAGCGUUAUCCGGAUUUAUUGGGUUUAAAGGGAGCGUAGGUGGAUUGUUAAGUCCGUUGUGAAAGUUUGCGGCUCAACCGUAAUAUUGCAGUUGAAACUGGCAGUCUUGAGUACAGUAGAGGUGGGCGGAAUUCGUGGUGUAGCGGUGAAAUGCGUAGAUAUCACGAAGAACUCCGAUUGCGAAGGCAGUUCACUGGACUGCAACUGACACUGAGGCUCGAAAGUGUGGGUAUCAAACAGGAUUAGAUACCCUGGUAGUC